rnacentral:rRNA from 1 species
CAUUCAAUUCGAACGGAGUGGCGGACGGGUGAGUAACGCGUGAGCAACCUGCCUAUUUGAGCGGAAUAACACCCGGAAACAGGUGCUAAUACCGCAUGCAAAUAGAUGGGCUCGCGUCUGAUUAGCUGGUUGGUGAGGUAACGGCUCACCAAGGCGACGAUCAGUAGCCGGUCUGAGAGGAUGAAUGGCCACACUGGAACUGAGACACGGUCCAGACUCCUACGGGAGGCAGCAGUGGGGAAUCUUCCGCAAUGGGCGAAAGCCUGACGGAGCAACGCCGCGUGAGUGAUGACGGCCUUCGGGUUGUAAAGCUCUGUGAUCGGGGACGCGGUACCCGAAUAGCAAGCCACGGCUAACUACGUGCCAGCAGCCGCGGUAAUACGUAGGUGGCAAGCGUUGUCCGGAAUUAUUGGGCGUAAAGCGCGCGCAGGCGGUUCUUAAGUCCAUCUUAAAAGUGCGGGGCUUAACCCCGUGAUGGGAUGGAAACUGAGAGCUGGAGUAUCGGAGAGGAAAGUGGAAUUCCUAGUGUAGCGGUGAAAUGCGUAGAUAUUAGGAGGAACACCAGUGGCGAAGGCGGAUUGCUGGACGACAACUGACGGUGAGGCGCGAAAGCGUGGGGAGCAAACAGGAUUAGAUACCCUGGUAGUCCACGCUGUAAACGAUGAAUACUAGGUGUGCGGCGUGCCGCAGCUAACGCAAUAAGUAUUCCACCUGGG